rnacentral:tRNA from 1 species
GCGGUUGUGGCGAAAUUGGUAGACGCGCUGUCUUCAGGCGGCAGUGCCGCAAGGCGUGAAAGUUCGAAUCUUUUCAACCGCA